ACGAGAAUUUUUCACAAUGGACGAAAGUCUGAUGGAGCGACGCCGCGUGGAGGAUGAAGGUUCUUGGAUUGUAAACUCCUGUCACUGCAGAACAAGGAUACGUUUGUGAAUAGCACGCGUAUUUGAUGGUAUGCGGAGAGGAAGGGACGGCUAACUCUGUGCCAGCAGCCGCGGUAAGACAGAGGUCCCGAGCGUUGUUCGGAUUCAUUGGGCGUAAAGGGUGUGUAGGAGGUCAGGUAAGUCAGGUGUGAAAUCUCACAGCUUAACUGUGAAACUGCGCUUGAUACUGCUUGGCUAGAGGAUCGGAGGGGGUAACGGAAUUUAUGGUGUAGCAGUGAAAUGCGUAGAUAUCAUAAGGAACACCGGUGGCGAAGGCGGUUACCUGGAAGAUUCCUGACUCUGAAACACGAAAGCCAGGGGAGCAAAC
rnacentral:rRNA from 1 species